rnacentral:lncRNA from 1 species
GUUGGAACCUAAGCAUAUAAUUGUAGUUCAAAAAUAACAUUAGCCUGCCAUUCUAGUCAAGCCAUCAUACCCUACAUUCUAGUUGUAACAUUAAGCUAAGCAAUGAGCAAGUUGUUGGACAUUGCAAGAUGGUACGUGCUUUGUUGAUGAUGAGAAAUAAAGAAAUCUAGAAUAAAUGCUUGAAGUAUUGAGUUCGUGGAACUCUUCAACAAUACUUGUCGGAGCAGCUCGCCAAAUUAUAUAGGUCCUUAAGGCACUAAGACUAAUUGGCCUACUCUAAAAACAUGAGGCUCAUAAAUCAUCUCCGACUUGCAUAAUACUCCAUCCGUUUCAAAUUAUAAGUCAUUCCAAGAAUCUUGGAGAGUCAAAGCAUUUUCAAGUUUGACUAAAAAUAUAGAGAGAAAUAUAAAAAUUUAUGUCAUAAAAUAGGUACACUAUGAAAAUAUAACUAACAAAGAAUCUAAUGGUACUUGGUUGGUACUAAAAUGUUAUUAUUUUUCUAUAUAAAUUUGGUCAAACUUGAAAAACUUUGACUCUCCAAGAUUCUUGGAGUGACUUAUAAUUUGGGACAGAGGGAGUAUAUCCUAACUCCCUCACAACCCUAUUCUCCUAGUUGUCACCCCCUCUCUCUCUGCGCACGUGUAACUAUCCAUCUGCUCAACUUCUCUACUCUCUCUUUUUUUUCUCUAUGUAGAUAAAUCAUAUCUCCUAGAUCUAGUGGAGGAGGCUUACAAGCAACCUGCAUAGAAGAGGUGCCUCAAGCACAGAGAAGGCUAGCGGGCAGGCCUCGGAGGAGAAUGGUGGCUGCCAUGCGUAGAGGGAUCCUGCAGGCAUCACUAUGGGAAACAAGAACUUUGCCGAGAGCCCUGCUUUGCCGAGAGCCAGGGCGGACUCUAGGCAAAGACCCUUUGCUGACGGCUAAGCUCUCGGCAAAGCCGAGCACUCGGCAAAUGCCAGCUUUGCUGAAAGCAUGGCUCUUGGCAAAGGAAGGCUCUU